UACGUAGGGUGCAAGCGUUGUCCGGAAUUAUUGGGCGUAAAGGGCUCGUAGGCGGUUUGUCGCGUCGGGAGUGAAAACAUACAGCUUAACUGUGUGCUUGCUUCCGAUACGGGCAGACUAGAGGUAUGCAGGGGAGAACGGAAUUCCUGGUGUAGCGGUGAAAUGCGCAGAUAUCAGGAGGAACACCGGUGGCGAAGGCGGUUCUCUGGGCAUUACCUGACGCUGAGGAGCGAAAGUGUGGGGAGCGAACAGG
rnacentral:rRNA from 1 species